rnacentral:rRNA from 1 species
UACAGAGGUCCCAAGCGUUGUUCGGAUUCAUUGGGCGUAAAGGGUGCGUAGGCGGCGCGGUAAGUCGGGUGUGAAAUCUCGGGGCUUAACUCCGAAACUGCAUUCGAUACUGCCGUGCUUGAGGACUGGAGAGGAGACUGGAAUUUACGGUGUAGCGGUGAAAUGCGUAGAUAUCGUAAGGAAGACCAGUGGCGAAGGCGGGUCUCGUGGACAGUUCCUGACGCUGAGGCACGAAAGCGUGGGAGCGAACAGG